UGAGGAGGUACUGAAUUCGUGAGCCGAAUUGGGAAAUGACCUUUUCUAAAUUGGUUCUAGUCUGGGUGUUCUGGAAAGUGCCCCAGAGUCUCUCCGCUGGUCUAGUACUCAUAUAAUAGAGAAUUGUUUGGCACAUUAUUACAAUUUGUUUCGUAAAAGAUGUUACUCGAUUUGCUAUUCAAUAUGUCCUUUUUUCUGCAAUUGAUAUUUCUAUGUUUAAUUUGCAUAUAAGGGAUAAACAUCGUGUCCACCAAUCAAACACAGUAGAUAAAUAAGGUUAAAGUUUAUCAAUAGACGUAUUUUUGUACAAAUAAGUGACGGUCAAUUUACCAGUCGCUAAAAUGAUCUCGCUUGGAGUAGUUGCGCGCUUUGGCGUAUUAUUAUUAUUAGUGAUUGUAACUAUUUGUGAAAAAUGCGAAUCUUCAGAGUUAUUUGAAAAACUUAAAAUCAUAAAAUCUAGAAACUUUGACGCGGGCGAUUUUGAACAAGUGGAAUUUGUUCCACAGGAGAUAAAUACAUCAAACGCAGAAGGUGACACGCUGUUACCUAUCGAUUUACAAAAUAAAGGAGAUCAAAAAGAAGUAGCAAGACAACGAAAACGUGCUAUUUUGAGAAACAAUCCACGUGUCGUUAGACAAGCUUACCAAGGUCAAGGAUACCAGCCCCUUUAUCCACACUUGCCCAAUAAUCCGUGGUACCCGAAUACAGACGGCUAUGGACGAUAUCAGCCUGAACCACAACAUGGGAAUGGAACACUGGAGGCUUGGUUGUUUUGGAGAGCAGUCGGGGACCGGCGAUGGUAAUGACAAUAGCACCGACGGGUGCUGUAAUGACGAUGGACAUGAUGCAUACGGUGAAGUAAAUAAAAUUUAAUAAAACAAUAUACCAAAAUCAAUAGCGAGGCUUACUAGUAGUCAAUGUCUAGUAGAAAAUUGAUUAGAACGGACUGAUGUUG